rnacentral:rRNA from 1 species
AGAGCGAACGCUGGCGGCAGGCUUAACACAUGCAAGUCGAGCGGGCGUAGCAAUACGUCAGCGGCAGACGGGUGAGUAACGCGUGGGAACGUACCUUUUGGUUCGGAACAACCCAGGGAAACUUGGGCUAAUACCGGAUAAGCCCUUACGGGGAAAGAUUUAUCGCCGAAAGAUCGGCCCGCGUCUGAUUAGCUAGUUGGUGAGGUAAUGGCUCACCAAGGCGACGAUCAGUAGCUGGUCUGAGAGGAUGAUCAGCCACAUUGGGACUGAGACACGGCCCAAACUCCUACGGGAGGCAGCAGUGGGGAAUAUUGGACAAUGGGCGCAAGCCUGAUCCAGCCAUGCCGCGUGAGUGAUGAAGGCCCUAGGGUUGUAAAGCUCUUUCGCCGCGACGAUGAUGACGAUAGCGGGAGAAGAAGCCCGGCUAACUUCGUGCCAGCAGGCCGC